UACAGAGGGUGCAAGCGUUGUUCGGAAUUAUUGGGCGUAAAGAGCGCGUAGGCGGUCCGGUAAGUCCGCUCUGAAAGUCCGGGGCUCAACCCCGGGAGGCGGGCGGAUACUGUCGGGCUAGAGUCCGGAAGAGGCGAGUGGAAUUCCUGGUGUAGCGGUGAAAUGCGCAGAUAUCAGGAGGAACACCGAUGGCGAAGGCAGCUCGCUGGGACGGUACUGACGCUGAGGCGCGAAAGCGUGGGGAGCAAACAGG
rnacentral:rRNA from 1 species